rnacentral:tRNA from 1 species
GUUGACCGUAGCUCAAAUGGCAGAGCACCCGGUUGUGAUCCGGGAGGUGCGGGAUCAUUCCCCGUCGGUCACCCCA